rnacentral:pre_miRNA from 1 species
UUUUUUAAAUUUCAUUUAUUUGUACUAUUAAAAACUGGCAUGCCUAUGAAAUAACCAGACAGUGUGACACAUGGCUGCCUUUUGUACAUCAUGCUGAGGUACAAAGACCAGAUUUUAACAGCAGAAAUGAAUGGAAUUUUUAACA